UCUGCGUUCGAGGGAGGCUGAUGUUUCCGACGCUAUGUGCAGCCGUGGGGGCGUGGCAGGGCGUGUUUCCACCUCCGUGUUGCCCGCGCUGGCUGAUCAAGGGGAUUAUAAACAGGUGCGGGUAGCCGCAUUGUAGCUCUCUGGUUUUCUGCUGUAUGCAGCAUCUGAGUGCGUCGCUGCGAGGUUCUGGCAUUGUUGAUUCGAAGCAGAACUGUGGAGUUUGCCGUCGGGAGUCGUGGAUGUCCCCCAGUCUGGCUGGUGAAGGCUGUGCUGAGGGGGUGUUCGUGUGGGUGCGUGAAGGAAGCUGUGUGCAGAUUGCCCCUGUCCUGCUAUGUUCUUU